AGUGAAACAGUACCUGAAACCGAAUGCUUACAAUCAGUUGGAGCCUCUUUAUGGGGUGACAGCGUACCUCUUGUAUAAUGGGGUCUGUGACUUAAUGUAUCAUGCAAGCUUAAGCCGAUAGGUGAAGGCGUAGCGAAAGCGAGUCUGAAUAGGGCGAUGAGUUGCAGGGAUUAGACCCGAAACCAGGUGAUCUAUCCAUGGCCAGGAUGAAGGUGCGGUAACACGCACUGGAGGUCCGAACCGACUAGUGUUGCAAAACU
rnacentral:ncRNA from 1 species